rnacentral:rRNA from 1 species
UACGGAGGGGGCUAGCGUUGUUCGGAAUUACUGGGCGUAAAGCGCACGUAGGCGGAUGUUUAAGUCGGGGGUGAAAUCCCGGGGCUCAACCCCGGAAUGGCCUUCGAUACUGGACGGCUGGAGGUCGGGAGAGGCGAGUGGAAUUCCGGGUGUAGGGGUGAAAUUCGUAGAUAUUCGGAGGAACACCGGUGGCGAAGGCGGCUCGCUGGCCCGAAUCUGACGCUGAGUCGCGAAAGCGUGGGGAGCAAACAGG